AUGGGAACGCGAAGAACCUUACCUACUCUUGACAUCCAGAGAACUUUCCAGAGAUGGAUUGGUGCCUUCGGGAACGUCUGAGACAGGUGCUGCAUGGCUGUCGUCAGCUCGUGUUGUGAAAUGUUGGGUUAAGUCCCGCAACGAGCGCAACCCGUUAUCCUUUGUUGCCAGCGGUUAGGCCGGGAACUCAAAGGAGACUGCCAGUGAUAAACUGGAGGAAGGUGGGGAUGACGUCAAGUCAUCAUGGCCCUUACGAGUAGGGCUACACACGUGCUACAAUGGCGCAUACAAAGAGAAGCGACCUCGCGAGAGCAAGCGGACCUCAUAAAGUGCGUCGUAGUCCGGAUUGGAGUCUGCAACUCGACUCCAUGAAGUCGGAAUCGCUAGUAAUCGUAGAUCAGAAUGCUACGGUG
rnacentral:rRNA from 1 species